UACGUAGGAUGCAAGCGUUGUCCGGAAUUAUUGGGCGUAAAGAGCGCGCAGGCGGUCUAUCAAGUCAGAUGUGAAAUAUCCGGGCUUAACCCGGAGGGGUCAUUUGAAACUGGUAGACUAGAGUACAGCAGAGGAUAGCGGAAUUCCCGGUGUAGUGGUGAAAUGCGUAGAUAUCGGGAGGAACACCAGUGGCGAAGGCGGCUAUCUGGGCUGAAACUGACGCUGAGGCGCGACAGCGUGGGGAGCAAACAGG
rnacentral:rRNA from 1 species